rnacentral:tRNA from 1 species
GCCCCGGUGGCCCAAUCGGUUAGCGCGCCGUACUUAUAAUGCGGAGGUUGUGAGUUCGAGCCUCACCCGGGGCA